ACGCUCGACACCUACGGAGGCAGCAGUAGGGAAUCUUCCACAAUGGGCGCAAGCCUGAUGGAGCAACACCGCGUGAGUGAAGAAGGGUUCCGGCUCGUAAAGCUCUGUUGUUGGAGAAGAACGUGCGUGAGAGUAACUGUUCACGCAGUGACGGUAUCCAACCAGAAAGUCACGGCUAACUACGUGCCAGUAGCCGCGGUAAUCUGAGCGGGCUGGCAAGGC
rnacentral:rRNA from 1 species